rnacentral:tRNA from 1 species
AGAGGAGUGGCAGAGUGGUCGAUUGCGGCGGUCUUGAAAACCGUUGACUGUAACAGGUCCGGGGGUUCGAAUCCCUCCUCCUCUG